CAGAUUAGAGCUUGUUAGAAAGUAUUUUAUUUACAUUAAAAAGUUAAUUGUGUGAAUCAAUUUAAUUUGA
rnacentral:tRNA from 1 species